AUCGGCCGGAGGACAUGGGUCGACUCAAACGCUGCGCCGCCCGGCCUGACAACGCGAGGCCGCGUCCGCUGGCCAGAAGCGGGAGGGCGGGCCACAGCAUGACCCCGAUGAAGGCCUUCUCACGAGGCAGUGUACGGCGAAAAGGGCGAUUUAGCCGCCGACUGUCUCCUGUCCGCGAGUCGGUGUCCGCCACCGAGGGGGAAGGUGGCUUGUCCGCUCAACCCAAAGACGAGUUACAUGAUGCUGAGCACAAGGGGGACGUUAUUGAUGGAAAUGACAUUUUGGCGGAUGCUAAGGGGAAGG
rnacentral:lncRNA from 1 species